AUUGAACGCUGGCGGCAUGCUUUACACAUGCAAGUCGAACGGCAGCGCGGGCUUCGGCCUGGCGGCGAGUGGCGAACGGGUGAGUAAUACAUCGGAACGUGCCCAGUAGUGGGGGAUAGCUCGGCGAAAGCGGGAUUAAUACCGCAUACGACCUGAGGGUGAAAGCGGGGGAUCUUCGGACCUCGCGCUAUUGGAGCGGCCGAUGGCAGAUUAGCUAGUUGGUGGGGUAAAGGCCUACCAAGGCGACGAUCUGUAGCUGGUCUGAGAGGACGACCAGCCACACUGGGACUGAGACACGGCCCAGACUCCUACGGGAGGCAGCAGUGGGGAAUUUUGGACAAUGGGCGAAAGCCUGAUCCAGCAAUGCCGCGUGUGUGAUGAAGGCCUUCGGGUUGUAAAGCACUUUUGGCGGGAACGAAAAGGACUGUGCCAAUACCACGGUUCGAUGACGGUACCCGCAGAAUAAGCACCGGCUAACUACGUG
rnacentral:rRNA from 1 species